rnacentral:rRNA from 1 species
AUUGAACGCUGGCGGCAGGCCUAACACAUGCAAGUCGAGCGGAGCGGCGGACGGGUGAGUAAUGCCUAGGAAUCUGCCUGGUAGUGGGGGAUAACGUCCGGAAACGGGCGCUAAUACCGCAUACUAUCAGAUGAGCCUAGGUCGGAUUAGCUAGUUGGUGGGGUAAAGGCCUACCAAGUCGACGAUCCGUAACUGGUCUGAGAGGAUGAUCAGCCACACUGGAACAGGGACAAGUUCCAGACUCCUACGGGAUGCAGCAGUGGGGAAUAUUGCAAAAUGGGCGCAAGCCUGAUGCAGCCAUGCCGCGUGAGUGAUGACGGCCUUCGGGUUGUAAAGCUCUGUUAAUCGGGACGCGGUACCGGAAUAGAAAGCCACGGCUAACUACGUGCCAGCAGCCGCGGUAAUUC